rnacentral:sRNA from 1 species
UAGAGAGAAGGACUUCUCUCCCAUCCCACUCCUUUUCGUGUCUCUCCCCAAAAGCUUCGCCGGAGUACCGUCGUUGACAAAAGUAUUGUCUGUUUCGUGAACUGGCGUCGUUCACCGAAGCAUAUUCCGCUGUUUGAAAGCAACUGCCACCGAAAGUGUCGCCUUUCCGUCGUCGUUGGACCGUUCCUUUAGGCAAUCGUUUGUUGUUGUUCGUGUAUUGGAGGAUCUUUGUCAAUAGAGUGAAACUUCUCAUAGCAGGAAGAUGAGAAUAUAUGUAAGGUUAAAAUAGGAGAUGUGGGUGUACUUUAGAAGUUUUGUGAACCUGUAUGAAAGUGUUAGCAAGCAAGAGAGAGGCUUGGAAUUUAGAACACCAAGAGUUAACGUUUUAUUUCCUGGAAAAUGAGAUUGUAGGCCUAUGUCAAGCCCUCAAUGAUGUUUUGGAUAGCAUGGCUAAGAAGGGUUUUCCAGUUCCUUUUUAACGUGGAUGAUUUUGACAAUUUAUUUGUUUAUACGUUCUUAGGAAACAAGAAUGACACUCCAUAUGUUACAUCAGA